CCCGGUUCCCCCCCGUUGUUCGGGGCGGCUCCGGCGGCGGGCGGGGAGCGCGCUGAGGUCGCUUGUAACGCGCCGGGCUUGUGUGUGAGUGUGCAUAUGUGUGUGUGUGUGUGUAUGUGUCCACCACCCCGCCCCUCCACCCCGAUAUCUUUUCUCCCCCCCGUCCUCUCCCCGCACCUCGGCGAGGAGUAAGUGCCACCGCUCCGCCUUCUCCUUUUCGCAAUGUUGACGCAAUCUAUAAAUAGUGGAACAAAAGGACCAACUUCCUCGCAGCUUUGCUGAAACUGCACAAAAAAGGCAACCGGGGGGUGUAGGGGGGGCUGGAUAUUUUUUGAUUUUAUUUUUCUUCGGUUAAAAGGCGAAUCCUCCCUCACACCCAACGCUACUGGAAGAUUAUUUAUAUUUUUCUUUUUUUUUUUCUUUUUUUUUUCUUUUUUUUUUUUCCCUCGCUGACUGACUCCUAUGCUGGCAACGUCCUGCGAGUGGCUAUUUUGCUUUUGCACCGAGCGAGUGGCUUUCCCAUUCCCUCCUCUUCUGACAGAAUUAAACACUGAGGGCAGAAUCUCAGUUUCACACACCGCACGCUUUCCCCAGUGUUACAAGUGUAACGUUCCGGGGUUAGAAACUUGUUGCAAUAUGCUACUGGUGGAGGAAAAAAAAAAAAAAAAUAAAAGAGGGGGGUUUUUACUCACUCUGUGUAAAUAUUUCAGUAGUACCCGCUGUAAUGUCAAUAAAUCCGUAUCACACUAAAAAUAACAA